rnacentral:rRNA from 1 species
CACAGGGAUGCCCUAGUAACGGCGAGUGAAGCGGCAACAGCUCAAAUUUGAAAUCUGGCCUCGGCCCGAGUUGUAAUUUGCAGAGGAUGUUUCUGGCGCGGUGCCUUCCGAGUUCCCUGGAACGGGACGCCACAGAGGGUGAGAGCCCCGUAUGGUUGGACACUAAGCCUGUGUGAAACUCCUUCGACGAGUCGAGUAGUUUGGGAAUGCUGCUCAAAAUGGGAGGUAAAUCUCUUCUAAAGCUAAAUACCGGCCAGAGACCGAUAGCGCACAAGUAGAGUGAUCGAAAGAUGAAAAGCACCUUGAAAAGGGGGUUAAACAGUACGUGAAAUUGUUGAAAGGGAAGCGCUUGUGACCAGACUUGCGCCGGGCGGCUCAUCCGGGGUUCUCCCCGGUGCACUCCGCCCGGCUCAGGCCAGCAUCGGUUCUCGUUGGGGGAUAAGAACGGCAGGAACGUGGCCCUCCUUCGGGUGGGUGUUAUAGCCUGCCGUACGAUACCCUGACGGGGACCGAGGUUCGCGCUCCGCAAGGAUGCUGGCGUAAUGGUCAUCAGCGACCCGUCUUGAAACACGGACCAAGGAGUCGUCCAUUAGAGCGAGCGUUUGGGUGUCAAACCCGCACGCGUAAUGAAAGUGAAAUUAGGUGAGAGCUUCGGCGCAUCAUCGACCGAUCCUGAUGUUCUCGGAUGGAUUUGAGUAAGAGUUUUAACGGACGGACCCGAAAGACAGUGAACUAUGCUUGUAUAGGGUGAAGCCAGAGGAAACUCUGGUGGAGGCUCGCAGCGGUUCUGACGUGCAAAUCGAUCGUCAAAUAUGAGCAUGGGGCGAAAGACUAAUC